rnacentral:rRNA from 1 species
AUGACGUCAAGUCCCAUGGCCUUUAUGCCCAGGGCUACACACGUGCUACAAUGGGUGGUACAAAGAGAUGCCAACUCGCGAGAGCGCGCCAAUCUCAGAAAGCCAUCCUCAGUUCGGAUUGGAGUCUGCAACUCGACUCCAUGAAGUUGGAAUCGCUAGUAAUCGCGGAUCAGCACGCCCGCGGUCGAAUACGUUCCGGCCUU